rnacentral:rRNA from 1 species
GACGAACGCUGGCGGCGUGCCUAAUACAUGCAAGUCGAACGCUUCUUUCCUCCCGAGUGCUUGCACUCGAUUGGAAAGAGGGGUGGCGGACGGGUGAGUAACACGUCUGUAACCUACCCAUCAGUGAGGGAUAACACUUGAAAACAGGUGCUAAUAUCGCAUAACAGGUUAUGCCGCGUGGCAUAAGGGUGAAAGGCGCUUGCGGGGGUGGCUGAUGGCUGGACCCGCGGUGUAUUAGCUAGUUGGUGGGGUAACGGCUCACCGAGGCCGCGAUGCAUAGGCGACGUGAGAGGGUGAUCGGCGACACUGGGACUGAGACGCGGCCCAGACUCCUACGGGAGGCAGCAGUAGGGAAUCUGCGGCAAUGGACGAAAGUCUGACCGAGCGACGCCGCGUGAGUGAAGAAGGUGUUCGGAUCGUAAAACUCUGUUGUUAGUGAAGAACAAGUACGGUAGUAACUGAACGUCCCGUGACGGUAUCUAACCAGAAAGCCACGGCUAACUACGUG